rnacentral:rRNA from 1 species
UGGGCUACACACACGCUACAAUGGGAAGGGACAAUAGGGUUGCGAAGCCGCGAGGCGGAGCCAAUCCAAGCAAAACUUCCCUCAGUUCAGAUUGCAGGCUGCAACUCGCCUGCAUGAAGUUGGAGUUGCUAGUAAACGCAGGUCAGCCAUACUGCGUUGAAUUACCGGUUCCCCGGGGCUU